UGCGUUGAGUUUAAAGCUGACUGCCCUGGCUUUUUCUUCUGCGCGUUCACGUUAGUGCCUCUUAAAAGCAAUAAAAUACAUUUCCUGAUGCGUUCUCUCUCUUAUUUCCUAUAGCUGUGCUUAGCUUCCUGUGCUUUUAUUCCUGUGACCUUCCCAUCUGCUCCAAAACACACAUAGAUCUCGCAUAAAGCUCUACACACCAGAUCUGCCUCCUUCCGUUAGUCAUUUGCUCUCUCCGGUCGAUCUCCAGCUCUAGUCAUCUACACAUCCAACCGAUCUCUAGCUUAUUGCCGUCCUUUCUAGCGUCCACCGUGUCUUUUGCUUCGGAGUGCUUUUUCUUCUCAUUGCCUCUCGAUCGCACUAUGUCCAUCGGAUCUACACUUCCCAUCGCCGGAUCUGCUCUCCAUCACUUGUCUCUGUCAAAGGAAGACCUGGCUUUUUUUUCUUCUGGAACUCAAGUUGCUGGUCUUUAUUUUCAUGGCUUAUCGUCCUCUACUAUUCCAGAACUGAUCUGUGCUUGGUCUCUUCUUUAUUUUCCAUCCCCUGUUUCGUUUAUCUUAGAGCAGAGGAAGAGCUGUUGUUUUUUUUUUGCUGGAACUCAGUUGCUGUUUUCUAUUUUCUUGAUCUAUCGUGCUCUACAUGUGUGCGUGUAAUGAAACACUGAUAAUGCUGUUAUAAUGCUCAUUUUUAUGGCUGAUCUUCUGGAACUGAAAUUACUAUUAUUUAUAAUGCUGUUAGACGUAUGGAAGCUUGAAAUCUGAAAGCAAUCCUCUAUAUUCUUGAAAAGGUGAAAAUAGUUUCCUGGAAAAUGCAUGCAUGCUGUGCGAAUUGAUUCUUCUAUAAUGCUGUACGAAAAUAGUUUUCUGACAUGGAUUUCUCUUGCUUUGAUAGAAGGGAUAAAGGCGUAACUUUCUAAUAUGGAUUUAGAAAAUUUUGAGAAUAUUUGAAUCAUCCAUGGUUAUUUUACAAUCCUAGAAAUCUAUACAUUAUCAACAAAUAAAUGGUUGGGAUUGCAAAGAUAAAAGGGAAAAAAUUUAGUGUUCAUAUUUAUUUAAGCAUAGCUUCUUGGAAAUUUAGUGUACAUAUUUAUUUAAGCAUAGCUUCCAGUAAAAAAAUCUAGUGUACAUAGCUUCCUGGAAAACGCAUGCAUGUCAUAUUUUUAAUGUACUAAUUAGAUAUUUAUUUUCUUACAAUUUAUUAUAUUACAUAUUUAUUUUCUUAAUUUAUUCUUUUAAAGUUUAAAGAUUUCAAAAUCUGUUUCUUUAAUGUCAGCCUGAUCGGAUAAGAGAAAUUAGGAGUUAGCUAGGUUUAUUAAGAGAGAUGACCAUAGCUAAUAUUCUUGAAAGCUUGAGAUCUAAUUACAAUCCUCUAUUUAUUUUCAAGGAUACAUAUAUGUAGAGAUAUUUAUUAAUUUUGCAUGUUUGUGAUGGUUGGCUAGUCUAUAGAACAAUGAACAGCGACAAAGGAAAAGCUAUGUGGAAUUCAACCUUGACAGAAAUUUUCAUUAAAGAAUGCUUGGAGCAAGUGUGCAAGAAACAAAGGAAGGGAACUACUUUCAAUAAAAAUGGGUGGCAAGCAAUAAUUGAGGGGUUUGAGGCAAAAAUAGGAAAAAGGUAUGAGCGAAAGCAAUUGAAAAAUAAGCUAGAUAACAUGAGGAAAGAAUGGAACGUAUGGCAUAAGUUAUUUUCAAGUGAAACCAGCUUAGGAUGGGACAGUGACAAGAAUACUGUUGAUGCUCCAGAUGAGUGGUGGGAGCGAAAAAUCUUGGUAUGGAUUAGUUGUAAGUGUUUUUAAAAUUAGAAUUUAAUUUGAGAAUUUUAAUUGUUGGAUAUUUGAAUGGCUGUAGGAAAAUUCCCUUUAUGAAAAAUUUAGAUAUAAAGGUUUGAGGUUUGCAAGGGAAUUAACUUUGAUAUUCAAGGAUGUCCUGGCAACUGGGGAAAUAUGUUUUGUACCAUCUGCUACCUAGACCCAAAUAGAAGAUGAUGAUGAUGAGGAUGUAUACCGCCCUACUAUUGACCUUCGAGAAGGCUCCGGUGAUAGUGAAGAGGAGCUAAAUUUAUCUGACACCGCAGCACCUAUGGGGGUCACCGAUGAGCUAUUGGGCUUGAGUGUGACCACAAAUACUGAUGGAACCAGUGGUAACGGAAGUCAAGGCAAGAGAAAGAGGGUUAUAGGCAUUGGUGGGAGGAAAAAGCAAAAAGUCCCUGCCUCAAUGAAAAUAGCAAAUGCGAUAAGUGAAAUGGCUAAGGAUAAUAGAGCAAGAACAGAGACAGUGAACAAGAUUUUAGCAAAUGACAUAGGAGUUUUUGAGGUUAUGGCUCACCUAAAUAGACUCCCAGAAGUUUUUGGUAAUAAAGAUUUGCAUUGGAGAUGUGUCAAUCUUGUUCUGUACAAGCCUAUGCGAGAUGUUUAGUGACAACUUAAAGAUCAUCCUGAUCACUUAGUCAAUUGGUUGAAGCACCAAGUUUACCAUCUACCAGAUUGGAUUUUAAAAAAUACAUAUGGAUAAAUUUUUAUCUAGGCUCAUGAUGACUUGACUUGUGUUUGACUUGUAGUUGCUUUUUUUGACUUGUAUUUGAUUUGUAGUUGCUUUAUUUUGACUUGUGUUUGACUUGUAGUUGCUUUAUUUUGACUUGUAGUUUGCAAAUGAUGACUUGAUUUGUAGUAAAUAUUUAACUCUUAUAUAAUGCUUAUCUUAUGCUUUAUCUUUUAUGAUAUUUAUAUACUAUGUACUUUAUAUUUACAUACUAUUUUA